rnacentral:rRNA from 1 species
GUGCCAGCCGCCGCGGUAAAACGUAGGUCCCGAGCGUUGUUCGGAUUCACUGGGUGUAAAGGGCGCGUAGGUGGUUGUCUGUGUCUCAUGUGAAAACUCAGGGCUCAACUCUGAGAUUGCGUGGGAAACUAGGCAGCUAGAGGACGGUAGAGGGGAGUGGAAUUCCCGGUGUAGCGGUAAAAUGCGUAGAUACCGGGAGGAACACCGGUGGCGAAGGCGGCUCUCUGGGCCGAUCCUGACGCUGAGGCGCGAAAGCUAGGGUAGCGAACCGGAUUAGAUACCCGGGUAGUCCUAGCCGUAAACGGUGGGUGCUAAGUGUUGGGGGGUAAAGACCCUUCAGUGCCGAAGCUAACGCGAUAAGUAAUUCGCCUGGGGAGUACGAUCGCAAGGUUGAAACUCAAAGAAAUUGGCGG